UACAGAGGUCCCAAGCGUUGUUCGGAUUCACUGGGCGUAAAGGGUGCGUAGGCGGUCGGGUAAGUCUGAUGUGAAAUCUUCAAGCUUAACUUGGAAACUGCAUCGGAUACUAUUCGGCUAGAGGAAUGGAGGGGAGACUGGAAUACUUGGUGUAGCAGUGAAAUGCGUAGAUAUCGAGAGGAACACCUGCGGCGAAGGCGGGUUGCUGGGCUGACACUGACGCUGAGGCGCGAAAGCUAGGGGAGCGAACGGG
rnacentral:rRNA from 1 species